rnacentral:rRNA from 1 species
UACAGAGGAGCCAAGCGUUGUCCGGAUUGACUGGGCGUAAAGCGCACGCAGGCGGAUGCGCGCGUGGGGUGUGAAAUCUGGCCGCUUAACGGCCAGGCGCCAUCCCAUACGGCGCGUCUGGAGUGAUGCAGAGGUCGAUGGAAUUGCCGGUGUAGUGGUGAAAUGCGUAGAGAUCGGCAGGAACACCCAGGGGGGAAACCAGUCGACUGGCAUCUACUGACG